rnacentral:sRNA from 1 species
AGGUGCCCCUGAGCCGAGGAACACAGGCGGUAGUCGUAGGGAGGGGAAGGGGAGCCCCAGGAGACGGCAGCAGCAUGGGCGGGCGGCCCUCGAGCCCUCUGGACAAGCAGCAGCGGCAGCACCUAAGGGAAGCUGCCCCGAGUCCGUGAGCACCGAGGACCCCUGACCCAGCUUCGGGGCCACCCACCCCGGUGGCAGCCAAUCUUCUGUGUUCUGCGUGGGGACGGCCGCCUAGAGUGGUUCAGCCACAAGGAGUUGGGACACAGAAGCCACAGUUCAGACCUAUCCCAAGUUGGUUCUCUGGGUACCUUUUGUAGGAAUAUGAAAACGGGGGCCAGUGCCUUGGCUCCACAGCUCUGACGGGAUACACACUCCUGACUUCCCAGCGAGAAUAUCUCCGCCUUUUGGACGCUCUCUGCCCUGAAUCCUUGGGAGACCAUACUCAGGAAGAGCCUGACUCCCUCUUGGAAGUGCCUGUGAACUUCCCGCUGUUCCUGCAGCACCCCUUCCGCCGGCACCUCUGCUUCUCUGCAGCCACCAGGGAGGCACAGCAUGCCUGGAG